rnacentral:misc_RNA from 1 species
GAUGAAGAACGUAGCGAAAUGCGAUAAGUAAUGUGAAUUGCAGAAUUCAGUGAAUCAUCGAAUCUUUGAACGCACAUUGCGCCCGCCAGUAUUCUGGCGGGCAUGCCUGUUCGAGCGUCAAUUCAACCAUCAAGCCCCAGGCUUGUGUUGGAGCCCUGCGGCUGCCGCAGCCUCCCAAAACCAGUGGCGGGCUCGCUAUCACACCGAGUGCAGUAGUUUACUCUUCGCUCAGGGCGUGUGGCGGGUGCUAGCCGUAAAACCCCCAACUUCUCAAGGUUGACCUCGGAUCAGGUAGGAAUACCCGCUGAACUUAAGCAUAUCAAUAAGCGGAGGA